ACCGCAGACCGCUUUAUCGCUGUCCUGAUUAUUCGGGAGAGAGGAAAGUCCGGGCAACACAGGGCGCCAUGCUUCUUAACAGGAAGGCGGGUGAAAGCUUGCAGUAAGGUAACAGAAAAUGACCACCCGGUUUUGACGUGUCACAACCGGGAACGGGUGAAAAGGUGAGGCAAAAGCUCACCGGUGGUGGUGGCAACAUCGCCAGCCGUACCUCUGAUGGGUUGCAAAGCCAAAUAUAUCAUGAUUUUCCGGUACGCCGGAAUACAGAACGGCCCGUUUUGAUUCUUAGGAAGUCGUGAGGGGUAGGCUGCUAGAUCGUUUCGGUGACGAAACGGCCAGACAAAUGAUAAAGGCCCGUCGAAAGAUGGGUACAGAACCCGGCUUACAGGUUUGCGUAUUUU
rfam:Bacteroidetes bacterium GWB2_41_8 gwb2_scaffold_1560, whole genome shotgun sequence.